UACGUAGGGUGCAAGCGUUGUCCGGAAUUAUUGGGCGUAAAGAGCUCGUAGGCGGUUUGUCGCGUCUGCUGUGAAAACUCGGGGCUUAACCCCGGGCCUGCAGUGGGUACGGGCAGACUAGAGUGCGGUAGGGGAGACUGGAAUUCCUGGUGUAGCGGUGAAAUGCGCAGAUAUCAGGAGGAACACCAACGGCGAAGGCAGCACUCUGGGCCGGUACUGACGCUGAGGAGCGAAAGCGUGGGGAGCGAACAGG
rnacentral:rRNA from 1 species